UACGGGGGGGGCAAGCGUUAUCCGGAUUCACUGGGUUUAAAGGGUGCGUAGGAGGGCAGGUAAGUCCGUGGUGAAAUCUCUGAGCUUAACUCAGAAACUGCCGUGGAUACUACCGGUCUUGAAUAUCGUGGAGGUGAGCGGAAUAUGUCAUGUAGCGGUGAAAUGCUUAGAUAUGACAUAGAACACCAAUUGCGAAGGCAGCUCACUACACGAAUAUUGACUCUGAGGCACGAAAGCGUGGGGAUCAAACAGG
rnacentral:rRNA from 1 species